UCCCUGGUGGUACAGUGGUUAAGACUCGAUGUUUUCACUGUUGUGACCCAGGUUCGAUCCCUGGUUAGGGAA
rnacentral:tRNA from 1 species